rnacentral:rRNA from 1 species
ACGCUGGCGGCGUGCCUAACNCAUGCAAGUCGAACGGGGCAAUUCCUUCGGGGGAUUGGCUUAGUGGCGAACGGGUGAGUAACGCGUGAGAAACCUGCCUUUCAGUGGGGGACAACAGUUGGAAACGACUGCUAAUACCGCAUAAUGUCAUUUGGGGGCAUCCCCGAAUGACCAAAGAUUUAUUGCUGAAAGAUGGUCUCGCGUCUGAUUAGCUAGUUGGUGAGGUAACGGCUCACCAAGGCGACGAUCAGUAGCCGGUCUGAGAGGAUGAACGGCCACAUUGGGACUGAGAUACGGCCCAGACUCCUACGGGAGGCAGCAGUGGGGAAUAUUGGGCAAUGGACGCAAGUCUGACCCAGCAACGCCGCGUGAAGGAAGAAGGCUUUCGGGUUGUAAACUUCUUUUAAGAGGGAAGAGUAGAAGACGGUACCUCUUGAAUAAGCCACGGCUAACUACGUG